rnacentral:rRNA from 1 species
CUAUUAUUUUAAGUGUUAAUUUUAUUUACCUGGGUAGUAUUAGUUAUGAUCUUUAAACCUAAAGAAUUUGGCGGUAUCUUAUUCCAUUUAGAGGAAUCUGCCCCGUGAUUGAUAAUUCACGAUUAACUUUACUUAAUUUAUUUGUUUGUAUAUCUCCGUUAUAAGAAAAUCUUUUUAGAGUUAUAAUUUUCUUAAUUUAUAAUUAUAAAAUAUUUCAGGUCAAGUUGCAGCUUAUAAUUAAGAGGAGGUGGAUUACAAUAAAUUUUAAUUUAUUAUGGAUUUAAUAUUGAAAUAUUAUUAAUGAAGGUGGAUUUAAUAGUAAUUUGAAUUAUUUAAUUUAAUUGAUAUUGGCUCUAAGAUGUGCACACAUCGCCCC